AGCGAACGCUGGCGGCAGGCCUAACACAUGCAAGUCGAGCGCCCCGCAAGGGGAGCGGCAGACGGGUGAGUAACGCGUGGGAACGUACCCUUUGCUACGGAAUAGCUCCGGGAAACUGGAAUUAAUACCGUAUGUGCCCUACGGGGGAAAGAUUUAUCGGCAAAGGAUCGGCCCGCGUUGGAUUAGCUAGUUGGUGGGGUAAUGGCCUACCAAGGCGACGAUCCAUAGCUGGUCUGAGAGGAUGAUCAGCCACAUUGGGACUGAGACACGGCCCAAACUCCUACGGGAGGCAGCAGUGGGGAAUAUUGGACAAUGGGCGCAAGCCUGAUCCAGCCAUGCCGCGUGAGUGAUGAAGGCCUUAGGGUUGUAAAGCUCUUUCACCGGAGAAGAUAAUGACGGUAUCCGGAGAAGAAGCCCCGGCUAACUUCGUGCCAGCCGCCGCGGUAACAC
rnacentral:rRNA from 1 species